CAACAGUUCAAUGAAAAAAUAGAAUAAACCACAAAGUACUAAAUUUAAAUGUGAAAGGUGAAUGUUAAGAAUCAUGAAGUUUAUGAAAAAUACAAUUUGCAAAAAAAUUAAGGAGUGUCGCCAUGAUUGAUGGAGGAGAAGAACCAUCACGAAAAAUGGAAGAGAAGAAGAGGGUAUGGUGGGAAGAGGGGCGGCUAAAAAUGGUUCAGGGUUUAGGUUUCUGUGGAAGAAAUACUUGACUGAUACUGGCCAGAAGUUACAUAGCUCGUUUAGUACGGCCACUUCUGGUGUCAUAACUCUCUCGGUUGGGUCGUUGUUCUCUUGGGGCCUAUACAAGUUAAACAACAAGGUCUAUGACGUGACCAGCAUCUUCAAGAAAAACGAGUUUUGGAAUGACAAACUUGUCAUCCUAUCCAAGUUGCCAACAACCCUAUCGGAGCUUCAGUCUGAUGUUUUAUCCCUCAAAAGAGAUGUCCUUCUUCUCCAAGCGCUGGCUGGACUUCAGUCCUCCAAGCAAGUGAAAUCUCAUUCUGAUGUCGAAAGCUGCAAAAGGAGCCUUCGUGCUCUUAUAGCGGAGAGACAGUGCGCUCCCAUCGUCCUCCUUCUCGCAUGGCACUCAGCUGGAAUGUUUGAUGUUGAUGUGAAGAAAACGGACAGCCUUGAUAACGCUUCUUGAGCCCGUCAAAGAGCGUUUUCCCAGUAUGUGAUAUAUGUCAGCUUGCAGGAGUUGUUGCUGUUGAGAUCACCGGAGGACCUGAGAUUUCCUUCCAUCCUGGUAGAGAGGACAAGGACAAGCCACCACCACCCAAAGUUUGUUUGCCUCAGGCCAGCCAAGGUGUGACUCAUCUUAGAGAUGUGUUUGGUCGGCUGGGAUUUAGUGACAAGGAUAUCGUUGCAUUGUCUGGUGCCCACAACUUGGUUUCGAUGACUCAAAACUCUCUACUCUUUGACAAUUCUUAUUUCAAGGAGUUACUAAGCAAAAAGACAAAAGUACCGACGGAUAAGGCACUUCUUGAAGAUCCUCAGUUUCGCCUCUUCAUUGAGAAAUAUGCUGGAGUAAGCUAUAUACAAAAUACAUACAUAUAUUUGAAGAGCUUCAUUAUUGAUUCUAUCUUUAUCUGAGGAUAACGACGUCUUCCUUAAAGACUAUGCUGAAGCUCACCUGAAGUUGGCUGAACUCGGGUUUGCUAAGGAGUGAACCUGAAAGCUAUAGCUUUGGUUUAUUAUUUGACUUGGUGGUUAGUUUGAUGUACUUAAGCUGAAGAGGUUUACUAUUUUGACUUGGUUAGUUCGAUGUAUUUACUUUUAAUGAAUCAAAAGUAGGCUGAUGUUUAUUGUUAUUAUAACUU